CUAAUUGUGGAAUGCUUUGACUUCAACAAAAUUCACACCAUAUGUCAAAGAAGAAAAAGAAAUCUUACAGUUUCCAUCUCUCUUGUAAUGUCUUUCACUGAAGGUGAACUACUCUGAUUUUGCAGAUGUUACACAUGAGUUCCUUAUUCAGGGAGAAGAAGCUGAAUCAGCUGUUGCAGAUUGCCUGCUGCCUCGUCUGCCUCUGCAGACUGGAAAGGACCACUCCUGCUACCAAGGAAAACAGGGAGUAAAAAUCCAAAUACCAUGCCCUUGACUUGGUUAUGGAAAAGAAAGCAGAUGAAAAAUUUUCCUGUUCAUGGUCAGAAAUUACCACAUUAACCUGUGAUAGCUGAAUCAUGGAAGGUAUAUAUGACAUCUUUCUAAAAUGUUUGUUCUAAUUUCUUCUAGUAUGAAGAUGCAGCACAGAAGUGGAAAACUCAAUAUAAAUAUUCCCUAAUACCCUAAGAGGGAUAAAUAUUACUGUGAGUUACAAUUGUAUCUCUCUUACCAUUUCUUUGUCUUUAACUGUCUCUAAGGUACAAAUAAUUUUAUUUCUCUAGCUGUGAUUUUUUUUUGCCCCUUUUAUAUUAAUUGUAUUUAUAUCAAAAUAUAUAUUGAUAUAAAUUGUCAUUGUAAGGGUUUUUUUCCCUGUUUGGUUUUUUUCAUUUUUUUGGUACUUUUUUUCUGUCUGUUUGUUUUG
rnacentral:lncRNA from 1 species